rnacentral:rRNA from 1 species
GACGAACGCUGGCGGCGUGCCUAACACAUGCAAGUCGAACGAAGUAAGUUGCUUCACCAAGUGUUGAAUAGCUACCCCCAAGCGCAUUUGCCAAAGGGUAAGCAAAAAGUACUAUCAAUUAAAUAAAAUGGUGAAACAAAAGAAUAGCGAAGAAGAAGCAAAUGCGCUUCACGCUAAUUCCAAGUACCAACACAAAACAAAUUCAAUGUUUGGUGAAGCAACUUGCUUAGUGGCGGACGGGUGAGUAACGCGUGAACAAUCUGCCCCGUACAAAGGGUAGCCUCGGGAAACCGGAUUAAAACCAUAUAACACUUAACUGCCGCAUGGUAGUGAAGUCAAAUCGAUUAAGAGGUAUGGGAUGAGUUCGCGUCUGAUUAGCUAGUUGGUGAGGUAAGGGCUCACCAAGGCGACGAUCAGUAGCCGGCCUGAGAGGGUGAACGGCCACACUGGAACUGAGACACGGUCCAGACUCCGUACGGGAGGCAGCAGGUGGGGAAUAUUGCACAAUA